GAGACUCGAAAGGCCUUAUCAUUCAUGUGAAUUAAAAUCGUAAGACUUGUAGAAAAAGAUUAAUUGUUGUGAAUGUAAAGACAGAAAAUAAACAUGCAAUGUAUUUGAUUCAAUUGACGAAAAAGACUAUGGAUGAAUGGAGUUGUUGGGGGUUGACAAUUUCAUCUAAUCCACUCCCUCUUAUCUACUCCUCUUGUUUAAUGUGCUUAAUUAUCUAACGGUUAUGCAAACUUUCUUGGCCUACCCUUAACCCGAUCCCUCGGCGAAAAGAGCCUAUUACUAAUUACCGGCUUGUUAUCCCUAGCCUCCCCUAGCAAUUAAUAAUGCGUUAAGAACAGAAGCAAAAACAAUUGAUCGUCCUGCC
rnacentral:lncRNA from 1 species